AUUGAACGCUGGCGGCAGGCCUAACACAUGCAAGUCGAGCGAGCGGCGGACGGGUGAGUAAUGUAUGGGAAACUGCCCGAUGGAGGGGGAUAACUACUGGAAACGGUGGCUAAUACCGCAUACCAUCAGAUGUGCCCAGAUGGGAUUAGCUAGUAGGGGGGGUAACGGCUCACCAAGGCGACGAUCCCUAGCUGGUCUGAGAGGAUGACCAGCAACAAUGGAACUGAGACACGGUCCAGACUCAUACGGGAGGCAGCAGUGGGGAAUAUUGCACAAUGGGCGCAAGCCUGAGGCAGCCAUGCCGCGUGUAUGAAGAAGGCCUUAGGGUUGUAAAGUACUUUCAGCGGGGAGGCGUUACCCGCAGAAGAAGCACCGGCUAACUCCGUGCCAGCAGCCGCGGUAAUAC
rnacentral:rRNA from 1 species